rnacentral:rRNA from 1 species
UAAGGAAUAUUGGCCAAUGGACGCAAGUCUGAACCAGCCAUGCCGCGUGAAGGAUGAAGGUCCUCUGGAUUGUAAACUUCUUUUAUCUGGGACGAAAACGGGAUUUUUAUCUCAAUUGACGGUACCAGAGGAAUAAGCACCGGCUAACUCCGUGCCAGCAGCCGCGGUAAUACGGAGGGUGCGAGCGUUAUCCGGAUUUACUGGGUUUAAAGGGUGCGUAGGUGGGCUUAUAAGUCAGUGGUGGAAUCUCCGAGCUUAACUUGGAAACUGCCGUUGAUACUAUAGGUCUUGAAUUAUCUGGAGGUAAGCGGAAUAUGUCAUGUAGCGGUGAAAUGCUUAGAUAUGACAUAGAACACCAAUUGCGAAGGCAGCUUACUACAUAUAAAUUGACGCUGAGGCACGAAAGCGUGGGGAUCAAACA